AGGAAAAGAAGCCGUGGCAUCUAGUGGACAAACCGGUGUGGACGCUCGUUUGAAGGGCUCGCUUUGAAAGGAAAAGAAGCCGGGGCAUCUAGUGGACAAACCGGUGUGGACGCUCGUUUGAAGGGCUCGCUUUGAAAGGUAAUUAGAAGUCAAGGAUGGCGAUCAAGCGACAAGAUGAAUGAACCGAACACUCCACUUCGAAGCUUCCGCUAUGUUGAACUUGUUAAACAGUGUUUCUUU